rnacentral:lncRNA from 1 species
CAAUAAUUUGAGUUGUUAUAAUUAAUAUCCCUACAUUUCUCACAUGGAAUAAGACAUUUGUGACAUGAUGUCAAAUGGUCACCCACUGCACUAUUAUGUGACCUUUCAAACCUCUUAGUGCCUAAUUCAUUGUGAUACAUUGCCGUUAUUUUCACUCAUAUUAUCUUCCCCAACGCCCUCUCAGACACUCAAGAAUUACAUAUUUUACUUCAUUCUUGUUCAAACAAACUCAUCACUCAUCAGGUAAGUCAGUGGAACUCUAUAAAACUUUCCUGUUCUGUUAUUUUAUUUUAUUUUUUUCUGGACUUGCCUUCUCUAGAAGGAAGUAUCAUUGGCUCUAAGAACUUGUACUGAAUUUGCAGGUUAAAAGCUAUGGCGAUGAGGGGUUUUGAAAGGCUGAUGGUGAAUUUGAAGUCGAAGCUAAUUAGGUCUAUGAAAAUGAAGAAAACUAAUUAUGACAAGAUUGAGAAGAGUGAAAGCAUGAGAUUUGAAAUCAGGAGCAGAAAGGCUCGAAAGCUCAUUGAAGAAACUCUCAAAAUCGCAGAUUCUCCUAAAACCAGAAGCUAUGCUCUCUGAUGCUAUACAACGGAAAACUCAAGUGCAUAUUUAGUACGCAACAACAUUAGUGUAGAUUGAAUAGUGUAAUAAAGGAGGUUUGGGUUUCAUAACACUGAUUUUGUCGAUUUUAUACUGUUCUUCUUCUUCUUCUUCUUGAUGUUGAUUAAAGAAAUCAGUUGCUAGCUAACACGCACCCCCCCCCACCCAGUCCCUACCCCUCAUAUACACACAUGUAUGCAUCUCUGCAAGUAUGCAAGAACGCAGGACUGCCAUAUCUGUAUCACAUGGUGUGUUUUGUCCAGAGGUUGGGUCAUAAUCCAUAAACAAGAUUGUGGUCCAAUUUUCCAAAUAUAUUUUUCAUAUAUUUGAAUUUAAUAUAACUAUACCAAGAUCAAAUACUGAUUCUUGAACAAAUAUUUCAUAACUAAUAUGAUAUAUCUUAUAGAAG